GUGAAGCGGGAAAAGCUCAAAUUUGAAAUCUGGCGGCCUCGCGGUCGUCCGAGUUGUAAAUUAGAGAAGCGUCGUCCGCACCGGACCGUGUACAAGUCUCUUGGAAAAGGGCAUCGUAGAGGGUGAGAAUCCCGUCUUUGACACGGAGCCCCGGGGCAUUUGUGACGUGCUCUCGACGAGUCGAGUUGUUUGGGAUUGCAGCUCAAAAUGGGUGGUAAAUUCCAUCUAAAGCUAAAUAUUGGGGAGAGACCGAUAGCGAACAAGUACCGUGAGGGAAAGAUGAAAAGAACUUUGGAAAGAGAGUUAAACAGUACGUGAAAUUGUUGAAAGGGAAACGCUUCGAGUCAGUCGCGUCGGCCGGGGAUCAACCCGCCUCCGUGCGGGGGCAUUGUCCGGUGGACGGGUCAGCAUCGAUUUUGACCGUCGGAGACAUUCCGGGGGAAGGUGGCAUCUUCGGAUGUGUUAUAGCCCUCGGUUGGAUGCGACGGUUGGGAUCGAGGAACUCAGCACGCCGCAAGGCCGGGGUGUCCGCACCCACGUAACGUGCUUAGGAUGCUGGCGAAAUGGCUCGAAUCGACCCGUCUUGAAACACGGACCAAGGAGUCUAACAUGCCCGCGAGUGUUUGGGUGGUAAAACCCGAGCGCGCAAUGAAAGUGAACGGUCGAGAUCUCUGUCGUGGAGAGCACCGACGCCCGGACCAGACCUUUUGCGACGGAUCUGCGGUGGAGCGUGCAUGUUGGGACCCGAAAGAUGGUGAACUAUGCCUGAAUAGGGUGAAGCCAGAGGAAACUCUGGUGGAGGCUCGUAGCGAUUCUGACGUGCAAAUCGAUCGUCGAAUUU
rnacentral:rRNA from 1 species